CUGAGAUUCAAGGAGAUUAAAAAUCUUAGCCCAAGUCAUGAAGAGAAGGCAGGGUUCAGAGGCUGGGUCAACCCUCCUUGGCUUCUCAUAGUCAGGGAAAAAUUGAAACAGCUUUCAUAGAGUUUUCUCAUGGGAAGACAGGCAGGAAGUUCUGUUUUCCAAGAUUUAUGGUUUUUCUUCCUUUAAGAUGGCUUACUUUUUCUUUCUUUCUUUUCUUUCCUUUUUUGAAAACAGUUUAUUGGACCCAAAGGAUUCAUUAAUAACAACAGACGGCAGCAAACAGCCUUUGUAUAUCAGCUUACGGUCCAACAGUGUCUCCUACCCUGCACGUUUUCAUGUACGUGGUCUCAUGUAUUUUACCCUCAUAGUUAGAACCCACACCAUUCCCAUCUAGUUUUAAGAUGUAAACUGAGUCCACCAAAUCGCUGCUUUGCCCCGAAUCACACACUAAGUGGAGAUUCUGGAUCCCAAACGCAGGAACUCAAUCCUCACUACAAUCUCUCAUUGCUCAUGAGAUAGCACCAACCCCAGACCCCAGAGAUGGAGCGAGACUUACAGAGGGCAAGGCUCCAGAGAAAAAGGUUCUGUUCAAUACUUUUCCCAUUUCACUCUUGCUGCCACCUCUGUCACUGUUCACAUCACACGCAAACUGUUGACCUCAUUGUUUUAACCAUGAGGGCUAGUUUUUUCUUAUUCAUUUUAAUAUUUCUAGCACCUGACAUAAUGGCUGUAGGCUUCAGUAUAUUCUGAUGAACAAGGACCUUCAAAAUGCCGACUUUCAGUGCAGAAUAAAAGCAGUAUAUUUUUUACUCCAAUGUUUUAACUGAUCCUGUUUUUCAUUUUCACCACACACACGGAUUUCAUGGGCAGUGACUGGCACAAUAUCUCAG
rnacentral:lncRNA from 1 species